rnacentral:rRNA from 1 species
AGGGGAGUGAAAUAGAACCUGAAACCGCAUGCAUACAAACAGUAGGAGCCUCACCAGAGGUGACUGCGUACCUUUUGCAUAAUGGGUCAGCGACUUACAUUCUGUGGCGAGCUUAACCGAAUAGGGGAGGCGCAGCGAAAGCGAGUUCGAAAUGAGCGUCCAGUCGCAGGGUGUAGACCCGAAACCAGAUGAGCUAUCCAUGGCCAGGUUGAAGGUGUGGUAACACACACUGGAGGACCGAACCGACUAGUGUUGCAAAAUUAGCGGAUGAGCUGUGGAUAGGGGUGAAAGGCCAAACAAAUCUGGAGAUAGCUGGUUCUCCCCGAAAACUAUUGAGGUAGUGCCUCGUGUGUCGCUCCAGGGGGUAGAGCACUGUUUUGGCUAGGGGGACAUGGAGUCUUACCAAACCAAGGCAAACUCCGAAUACCUGGAAGCGUGAGCACGGGAGACAGAGCACCGGGUGCUAACGUCCGGACUCAAAAGGGAAACAACCCAGACCGCCGGCUAAGGUCCCCAAUAACAGCUAAGUGGAAAACGAAGUGGAAAGGCCGUGACAACCAGGAAGUUGGCUUAGAAGCAGCCAUCCUUCAAAGAAAGCGUAAUAGCUCACUGGUCGAGUCCUUCUGCGCGGAAGAUGUAACGGGGCUAAGCUGUUAACCGAAGCCGCGGAUGCACUGAUUAUUCAGUGCGUGGUAGGGGAGCGUUCUGUAAGUCUGCGAAGGCGGUUCGAGAGGACUGCUGGAGAUAUCAGAAGUGCGAAUGCUGACAUGAGUAACGUUAAAGCAGGUGAAAAGCCUGCUCGCCGUAAGCCCAAGGAUUCCUGCUCUACGUUCAUCGGAGCAGGGUGAGUCGGCUCCUAAGGUCAGGCCGAAAGGCGUAGCCGAUGGGAAUCAGGUUAAUAUUCCUGAACCUGCGUCAGAUGCGAUGGGGGGACGGAGCAUGAAAGAUCAUCCGGGUGUUGGAUGUCCCGGUUGACGAGCGUAGGAGGUCUGCAGGCAAAUCCGCAGACGCAUCUCCAAGGCAAAGACACGUGCCGCCACGGCGGCGAAGUGAUCGGAAGUGCUUCCAAGAAAAGCCUCUAAGCACCAGUCUGACGCGGACCGUACCGCAAACCGACACUGGUGGGCGAGCUGAAUAUGCUCAGGCGCUUGAGAGAACUCGGGAGAAGGAACUCGGCAAAUUGACACCGUAACUUCGGAAGAAGGUGUGCCGUAGUAGCGUGAGAGGAGAGACACCUUGAGCGUGAAUCGGUCUCAGAGAAUAGGUGGCUGCGACUGUUUAUUAAAAACACAGCACUCUGCAAAGUCGAAAGACGACGUAUAGGGUGUGAUGCCUGCCCGGUGCUGGAAGAUUAAUUGAUGGGGUGAGAGCCCUUGAUCGAAGUCCCAGUAAACGGCGGCCGUAACUAUAACGGUCCUAAGGUAGCGAAAUUCCUUGUCGGGUAAGUUCCGACCUGCACGAAUGGCAUAACGAUGGCCACACUGUCUCCUCCCGAGACUCAGUGAAGUUGAAAUGUUUGUGAUGAUGCAAUCUACCCGCGGCUAGACGGAAAGACCCCAUGAACCUUUACUGCAGCUUUGCAUUGAACUGUGAACCGAUUUGUGUAGGAUAGGUGGGAGGCAGAGAAGAGUCCACGCCAGUGGUCUUGGAGCCGACCUUGAAAUACCACCCUGAUUUGUUUGCGGUUCUAACCACGGACAGUGAUCCUGUCUUGGGACCGUGCAUGGUAGGCAGUUUGACUGGGGCGGUCUCCUCCUAAAGGGUAACGGAGGAGUACGAAGGUACGCUAGGUACGGUCGGAAAUCGUGCUGAUAGUGCAAUGGCAAAAGCGUGCUUGACUGCGAGAGCAACAACUCGAGCAGAUGCGAAAGCAGGUCAUAGUGAUCCGGUGGCUCUGAAUGGAAGGGCCAUCGCUCAACGGAUAAAAGGUACUCUGGGGAUAACAGGCUGAUACCGCCCAAGAGUUCAUAUCGACGGCGGUGUUUGGCACCUCGAUGUCGGCUCAUCUCAUC